rnacentral:rRNA from 1 species
UGACCUCAAAUCAGGUAGGACUACCCGCUGAACUUAAGCAUAUCAAUAAGCGGAGGAAAAGAAACUAACAAGGAUUCCCCUAGUAACUGCGAGUGAAGCGGGAAAAGCUCAAAUUUAAAAUCUGGCAGUCUUUGGCUGUCCGAGUUGUAAUCUAGAGAAGUGUUAUCCGCGCUGGACCGUGUACAAGUCUCCUGGAAUGGAGCGUCAUAGAGGGUGAGAAUCCCGUCUUUGACACGGACUACCAGGGCUUUGUGAUGCGCUCUCAAAGAGUCGAGUUGUUUGGGAAUGCAGCUCAAAAUGGGUGGUAAAUUCCAUCUAAAGCUAAAUAUUGGCGAGAGACCGAUAGCGAACAAGUACCGUGAGGGAAAGAUGAAAAGAACUUUGGAAAGAGAGUUAAACAGUACGUGAAAUUGCUGAAAGGGAAACGCUUGAAGUCAGUCGCGUCGUCCAGGGAUCAACCUUGCUUUUGCUUGGUGCACUUUCUGGUUGACGGGUCAGCAUCAAUUUUGACCAUUGGAAAAAGAUCAAGGGAAUGUGACAUCUUUGGAUGUGUUAUAGCCCUUGGUUGCAUACGAUGGUUGGGAUUGAGGAACUCAGCACGCCGCAAGGCCGGGUUUUUAACCACGUACGUGCUUAGGA